CGUGCUAAUCUGCGAUAAGCGCCGGUAAGGUGAUAUGAACCGUUAUAACCGGCGAUACCCGAAUGGGGAAACCCAGUGUGAUUCGUCACACUAUCAUUAACUGAAUCCAUAGGUUAAUGAGGCGAACCGGGGGAACUGAAACAUCUAAGUACCCCGAGGAAAAGAAAUCAACCGAGAUUCCCCCAGUAGCGGCGAGCGAACGGGGAGGAGCCCAGAGCCUGAAUCAGCAUGUGUGUUAGUGGAAGCGUCUGGAAAGGCGCGCGAUACAGGGUGACAGCCCCGUACACAAAAGCGCAUGUGCUGUGAGCUCGAUGAGUAGGGCGGGACACGUGGUAUCCUGUCUGAAUAUGGGGGGACCAUCCUCCAAGGCUAAAUACUCCUGACUGACCGAUAGUGAACCAGUACCGUGAGGGAAAGGCGAAAAGAACCCCGGCGAGGGGAGUGAAAAAGAACCUGAAACCGUGUACGUACAAGCAGUGGGAGCACCCUUCGGGGUGUGACUGCGUACCUUUUGUAUAAUGGGUCAGCG
rnacentral:rRNA from 1 species